UUAGUAUGCUGUCGAUUCACAAAUAAAAUUUCAUGGCUUUGAUCCUGCCGUGUCAUUGGUUGAAGUUGUUCCACGCGAGGCAAGUUAGAAAAAUUAGGGACCUUAUAAUAUCGACGUGUUUCAACCAGAGGCCGCGAAAGGGGGGGCAUUGGGGGCAAGUGCCCCCCCCCCCUUUUAAGUGAAAAAAGUGCCCUUUUUUCUGGGCUUAAGUGCCCCAUUUAAAGAACGAAAAAAGUAUUUCUUGAACCAAAGCCCUCUCUUGCUGGAAAGAAAAUGCCCUUUUCGCAGUGGUAAAGACUUUGUAAAGGCCAUUUCCGACGUUAUACAGACUCCAUAUUUUCAAAAAAUUUCGUUCGGCUCGUGAACGACAUACAAUCGUUUGAUUUUGGUCGUAUACAAAAGUGCCCUUUUUGGUCAAUGCCCCUCCACUUUCGAAAUGCUUCAGUGGCUUCUGGUUUCAACGAAUACCACAGGCCUUAUUGGGAUCGCCCGGCGAAUCCUGUACUGUAUCGUAACAAUGAAUGCCCUAUCUAGCUCUCCGUUUGUAUAGAAGUGUUUUUAACUGAUAGGUUAACCUCAUUUGAUACAGACUUUAAAUUUGCCUUUUCAGAAUGAAUCAUGUUUACGUACGGAAGACAUUUUAAAGAUUAUCGAAGAGCAAGGAGACUCGAUAGCUUUAAUAAUGUUUGCAGGUAACUGCGAAAAUAUGUCGACUGUCGAGGGAGAAUACCCGAAAUUCUGAUCAAAAAUAGUGAAUCCUAAAUGAAUGAUAUAGCCGAAAAAAUGAAAAUCCAUUUUGUACUUUAGACUGAGUAAAACCUGAUAGAAAAGUUCAAAAUUUCACCACAGAAAAAAUUGUCUUUUUUCGCUGCAUUUAGGUGUUCAGUAUUACACAGGACAGCUUUUUGAUAUGAAGGCUAUCACAGAGGCCGGUCAUAAAAAGGUAUACUUUAUUUAGAUUAUAAAUAUUUUGGUGCUG